UCCGGCUUAACGCCGGCAGUCUCGCUAGAGUCCUCAGCAUUACCUGUUAGUAACUAGCGACAAGGGUUUCGCUCGUUAAGGGACUUAACCCGACACUUCACAGCACGAGCUGACGACAGCCGUGCAACACCUGUGCAUGUUUCACCCUUGCGGGCAGAUUCUCAACUCAUCGCCGAGAAACAUCCAUGCAUGUCAAACCCGGGUAAGGUUCUUCGCGUUGCUUCGAAUUAAGCCACAUGCUCCACCGCUUGUGUGAGCCCCCGUCAAUUCCUUUGAGUUUUAGCCUUGCGGCCGUACUCCCCAGGCGGCACACUUAGCACUUUUGCUACGACGGCGGCACCGUCAGAGGUCCCGUCAUCUAGUGUGCAUCGUUUACGGCGUGGACUAC
rnacentral:misc_RNA from 1 species